CAUUCCUUUUUCUGUUAAGCAGCAUGCGUGAUGCACUCAAAAAGGUGGGAAUGUGGUAGAAAAUUGGGGAACAGGAAUGGCAGUCUGCUGGAGAAGAAGUGCAUGAUGGGAUAGCCGUCGAGCCUUGACUUGUUUGCCUGUGUGCGUGUAUUUCUGAAUGCCCUAACCCAGGCAGGAAGCUGAGAUGGGAAGAGCUGGAAAAGCAGGUAACUGGGGAGAGCUGAGGCAGCAGCCUGCUAGAGGAAAGAGCACGGUGGAUGUUUCAAGGGAUGGAAGAACUGGGAUGGAGGGAGCUGCCCAUUAGCGCACCUGAUCUCAACUUCGGAAGAAGUCCAAAGGCUAUGAAGUAGCCUGACAGCUCAGACGACAGACGCCUUCUCUCCGCCGCCUGCCUCAUACCCAAACGAAGCCCUGCGUCUAAUCAAGAAUUGCACAGGGGACGGGAUGUCGAAUGGUGAAUGAAUUCAUUUAUUAAAGGAAAAGGAAAAAUAAAGGACAAAAGUAGUGGACAGAACAAAAAGGUU